UCCCCUCCCCCACUUCCUUCUCUGGCUUCGAGUCUUGAGUGGGGAUCUGCAGUUGCAGGAAAAGCGAAACAGGAGAAAAAAGCCGAGAGUUGCACUGCGCGUCAGUUUUGCAGAUCUAGCGAGAGAAAACGAGCGAGCAGGGUGCAAAAUAACUGGGAAAGCAUGUUAAAGUUGCAACUUCGGUUCUUACGUCGUCAAUACAAAAGAUGCAAGUAAAGAAGGACGCUGUUUUGCAGAAGUAAAAGAUUGGCUGGUGUGUUUGAGAGCGUGCACUGUGUGGAGGGAGAGGGGGGACGCAGUGAUGAAAACACCGUUUGCAAGCCGACACAUUCAAGGUAUUUCAUUUUACAAACAGCUCUGGCACAAUCCGAUUAGGAAUUCUUGCUUUUUGCUAGAGACUCUAAAAAAUAACUUCUAAGAAAAAAUAUCCCCGCCGAGAGUCCUGGGCUCGAGAUCUUAAACGCAGCAGCAGCAGGAGCGCGUGCACGCGUGACGCCGUACGUUUUUUUUUAUUACGACUACUGCACAGAACUACACAGCAAGCCUGGCGCGAGUUUCAAAUUGUGAUGUGCUAAACUGUGUUAAUAUUUUGUGCAAAGCAGUUUGCAAGACGAAAAACAGACAACGACGGAGCAGAAUUGGUUCUGAGAAGCAUUUAUAAAUGCCUUAUUUUGCAGGACCAAUGCGAAAUCCAUGAUGAAAGGAAAAGCUGCUUGAUCGAAUGGAGACCCCUUUUCAUUUUGGGGGGAAAAAAUCACAUGGAUUGUGGGUGAUGCUUAACAAAAACAACACCACAAAACAAAGAUAACCCGAAGCGAUGCACAAAACAAAGGCGUUUUUAAAGAGAUAGUAUGAUGACCAAGGUGCAUGCACGCUUGAAACUGAAGCGUUAUUGGAAAGGGAAGAUUGCAUUUAUCCCCCCCCCCCGAAGGAGGACACCAGUCAAGACUACAAAUAUGCAAAGGUCAAGCGCUGACACAUUUUAGAUCCAGCAUUUAGUGGCGGAUUGCAGAUUGAAUGUGGAUGUUCCUUCGCUCAACCUGGCAUCUACAAGCAACUUCAGUACAGCGACUGAAUUGUUCCCCUUAUUUUUCUUUUCCAAUAAUUUAUAUUUUUUGGAGAGGGGUGAUGGGGGUUGGGGGAUGAGCUACUGUUAUUAAGAUUGUGUUACAAACUGUUUAUAAUCAGACAUUUACGGCAAAGACUAUUUUGUGUUCAUAUAACACGUGUGUGUGUGUAUUUAUUUAUUUAUUUAUUUAUCUAUCUAUCUAUAUUUCCAAUGUGUGUAUUUACCAGUAUGGCAUGCAUACUUGCUUAAUAUUAAAUGACAGUCUUUACUCCAGUGCUUUAUGUAUUUAUUUCAGGGAGUAUGUAUUUCUUUUCUUCCGUGACGAUUUUAGUGGCGUGUUUAAAACGAAGUGUAUUUCAAAAAAUGUAGGCGACAAUAAAUUCGUAGCAUUUUUUUU